rnacentral:lncRNA from 1 species
GGUUAUAACAUAAAUCCUAAAGAUCCUUUAAAAUAUUCAUUUCUCAAUAUAUCCUAAUUUUACUACAUGUCCAUCUUAGCUCUUCUAUUUCUACCACACUCAAAAUCUGUUCUCGUGUUCUCUCUUUAUUGCACAGCAUCAUGAGCUAUAUAACAUUACUGGUUUUAUUAUUAUUUUGUAGAAUUUAUUUAUGAAAUUUUCAAGAUAUGUAUUGCUUAUAAAAAUCUAAAUAUACCUCCCCACUUUAUCCAACCAAGUCUAGUUCUAUCUUCGUUUAUUCCUUAUCAUUUUUCUGAAUAAAUUCUAAGUGAAAAAAUAAUAACUUUGUCCAUGAACCUUAACUGAAAUACUAUAUUUUACUUUUAUUCUCAUCAAAUUUACAUUUUGUAAACUUUGUCAUUGUUCUACUAAUUUUUAACUCCUAUAUAUUAAUGCUAUAUUCCACAAGUUCAAUUUAGUAUUUAAUCUAAUUCUUUUUUCAUCAAUUACUACGAUCAUCUUUAUAUAAUAUAUACAUGGUACAUGUUUUUGAAUAUUAGAAAUAAUUUUAUCAAUAACUUGAGCAAAAGGAUAUGAAUUUGGUAGUAACCAUUGAUGCAAGCUUAUUAUGACUAGAAAUACGCUUGUUGUACCACCAUUAGCUCCUGACAUGUCAACGCUCCAACAUAAACUCAGCUAUUUCAAUAUAUCAUUCAAAUACACACUUCCUUCUUAAAGCCCACUAAAUUACUUUCCUUGUUACAUAUCAAAAUUUUUCUUUUAUGAAAUACAUAAUAAGAUUUCUUUAAAUAGUAACGAUCAUAAGUUGGUAUAGGCAAAUCUAUUAGCCAUUGCCGCUUCCUCGACAUAAAUACAAGGGAUUUAAAACCCCGAUUGAGCCUGGUAUCAUGACCUCUGGUACCAAAAAGGCUCUCCAACACAUUCAAAACCACUCAAGAUGGAGGUCAAAAAGGAGAGCUAGGAUCAAAGAAUUAAAGGCAUAAUAGUGCCGGCCAAAUUCAUGAUCUUAUGGUCAAGAAUAUGACAUCAGAAUCAUUUGAUAAUGCAAUAUCCACCAUCAAAUGCAUCCAAUACCCUUUCCCGGUGAAAGGGUUCAAGAGAGGAAUUCAGAAUGGUAUAAGAGCAAUAGAGUUGGCAAAUCCAUUGCCCGAGAAGAUAGAAAGAGGUCUUUAUUUGAAAAAGAUACCAUCAGAAUGAACUAAGAACUGCCUCACCGUCCAGACGAACAUAGUCUGAAUCUAACAUAGACUAGGUUUGGAUAAAGCAAUAGUCUAUUUCUCAUAAUCAAAGGGGAUUUAGCAUCUAAUGGCCUUUAAGGCAUAAUUUCUUAGUUUAAUCAUCUUAUCGACUUGUUUAAUUUGAGUUUUAGCCGAGUUUUAACGGACCCCACAGACUCUACGAUAUAUGAAGGGGGCCUUAGAAUACUAUAAAUAGGACCCCUUUCUACACGUUUUUAUAAUUGAAGUUUAUUAAACUUAUUUUUUUAAAAAUUUUCUGGCAAUGCUCUUUUGUUUUGAGAUACUACUCAAGACCCAUAGUGAGAUACUACGAUUUAGGAAGGAGAUACAAGUCAGAUGUUGGAAUUCUUUAACUAAGGCCAUGUACAGACCGGAGGUGGGGCCUCAAGGGUUUGGCAAGAAGAAGAGACUUGAUUCCUUUUAGUUAUCCCUUCUAAUUCUAAAUCUUGAUAAUUCUAGCCUCCAAAUUUAAUUUUAAUUUAUUUUCUUCUAUUUUAGCAUCUAAUUUGAUUCGUUUCCACUUCUAGUUCUCUUUCACCAUGCUACUCUAGUUUAAUAUAAGACUGGAGGCUCCCUUACUAUGAGGAUAUAUAGACAUUUCCCUUUCUCUAUAUUUAUAUCAAUUACUUUAAUAAAACUUCUAGACUUUCUUGUAUAUCAUUAGAGUUUUCUAAAGAACUUUUUGUAAAGUAACAUGUAUAUCUAAUAAUUAUUUUCUAAUAAUACCUAUGCCAUGCAGAUGCUUGGUUAUCCAAGGGACCUAAAUCCAAGGCCUUAAUCCUCCAACUAUGAUGAAAUAUGCAUCCAAAUCAUGGUCUCAUUUUAUAGACUGCCUUGGUUUUUUCUUUGAGUAUGUUCCUUUAUCCAACUAGAUGCAAAUUUCAGCAGCAUAGAGCUGUGCAGGAUUGGAAUUAUUCGAGUAAAAGGUUAAAUGACAAGAGUGCAUAUGUUUCUAUUAAAAAAGUUGCAUGUGUGCACUUGAGAGAGAGAGAGAGAGACCAACCCUUGAGCAAUUAAACCAAAGGCCGUUGAACAAAAAGGCUGCAUUUGGUUAGGGCAUAAGGCUUGAAAAAGACUUACACCUGCCAAAUGACGUUAAAAACUAAAGCAUAAGUUAUGCCAAUCAAAGCUCCUAAUGAUAGAUACUACCUUUCUAAAAGAGCCAUGUCAUAUUUUAUUUCCAUCAUAUAUCCUUCAAUUUAUUUCAGCCCUAUUGUUUUGCAAUGGAUAAAACUACCCUAAGUAGCUAUUGUAGUUGUGGCAUCAUCUUCUUGUUUUGUUCUGCAUUGUAGCAUGGAUGCUUGCACUUAUAAUAGGACUAUUUUAGUUAUUUAGGAAUGUAGAAGAAAAUUGCUAUUUAUAAUUGAACUAUGAACAAUGGGUACACUUGCUUAUGACAACCACAUUUGAUAGAGUGUCCUCUCCCCAACCCCAUGUGUCCCUGUUUUAUCUUAAAUUUGAAAAAAGGAAAGUGAUAAAAAGUGAGUAUAUCGUUUACCCAUCUUAUUAGAGGAAUUUACCCAUCUUAUUAGAGGAACAUCUCAGUAGGGGGAUUAUAUUUGGUAAUUUUCAUUUUUAGAAAUCAUUUUUAGUAGAAUUAUGAGUAUGGUUUCCUGAUAAUUUUUCUGAACAAAACACCUAAAGAUAUAUAGAUGAGUGAUAGAUGAUAAGGGUAGAACAUCACUCAUUCAUUUUAUGCUUAAAAGCAACCUCAUUCCUGCUAUCGUAACAAACAAUACAAUUAGUUAUAACAAAAGGGGAAAAAAAAUCUAGCAAAACAAAAACAGGCAUAACUUAUG